rnacentral:rRNA from 1 species
GAUGAACGCUGGCGGCGUGCCUAAUACAUGCAAGUCGAGCGAAUGGAUUAAGAGCUUGCUCUUAUGAAGUUAGCGGCGGACGGGUGAGUAACACGUGGGUAACCUGCCCAUAAGACUGGGAUAACUCCGGGAAACCGGGGCUAAUACCGGAUAACAUUUUGAACCGCAUGGUUCGAAAUUGAAAGGCGGCUUCGGCUGUCACUUAUGGAUGGACCCGCGUCGCAUUAGCUAGUUGGUGAGGUAACGGCUCACCAAGGCAACGAUGCGUAGCCGACGUGAGAGGUGGAUCGGCCACACUGGGACAGAGACACGGCCCAGACUCCUACGGGAGGCAGCAGUAGGGAAUCUUCCGCAAUGGACGAAAGUCUGACGGAGCAACGCCGCGUGAGUGAUGAAGGCUUUCGGGUAGUAAAACUCUGUUGUUAGGGAAGAACAAGUGCUAGUUGAAUAAGCUGGCACCUUGACGGUACCUAACCAGAAAGCCACGGCUAACUACGUGCCAGCAGCCGCCGUAA